UAGGCUUUAGUUUAAUAAGAACGGUUGACUGUUAAUCGAAUGGUGGAGAAGAUCCAAGCCUAG
rnacentral:tRNA from 1 species